UCAUUCGUUUGUUUAUGUGAGACACUACAUGCAGACAGGCAGCGUUCAACCUAUCCCAUCGUGUCCAUACAAAAUACAUGGUGUUUGUUGGUCUCAAAGACAGUUGUUACAAGGUGUUCAUACAAGUUCAAGUGCUUGUGUGUUCCAACGGCAGUUCCAACGAUGAUCGUUCCCCAAGGCAUGAUGAGAUUUACAUGCGUAUCUCUCCUGAUGUGGAUAGUAUCCGGAAAUACAGAACCAUAUUUAUGUCCAGACAGAUGCACGUGCAGUGCUUCGACUAUCACAUGUUCGGGUCUCACACUCUUCCCAGACAUCCGCUCCGAUUCUGCUGUUACUGUGACAAUCACCAGCUCUACCCUUCCACUACCAACCACCGCCUUCAGAACACUGCCAAAACUGACCCAGAUUAGUUUGGGUAAUGUGAACAUCACAAGAAUAGAAAGACGUGCCUUCAAGGAUAUAUCGGGAGGUACUGUGCUGCUGAAUAAUGUCUCCAUCUUGGCAAUUGAAGAGGAAGCAUUCUACAACUUGAAUAGAACAAGGGUUGAUAUUUCUAACUUUGAGAUGGACGUGCUGCCCUCCAGAACAUUUCACAAUGUGUCCUCAUCCUCCUUUACUUUAUCACAUGGACGAGUCACAACAGUCCAGUCACAAGCUUUCAGCAAUAUGGAUGUUUCAUUCCUUAAGAUACACAAUGUCAACAUCACGACCCUUCAGCCUCACGCCUUUCAGAAUGUCACAGCGUCCUACUUUUACAUUUAUAAUUCAAACAUCUCGACGAUCGGUUCAAACUCUUUCGGUAAUCUUACAGCAUCCUUCCUGAAUAUAUACAACGUAAGCAUCAUCUCUAUCCAACCUUAUGCCUUCAACAACAUGACUGUCUCUCAGGUGAAACUGUACAAUGCUAACAUCACCUCUAUCCAGCAAUAUGCCUUCAACAACAUGUCUGCAUCCCACAUGACAAUCAACAAUGCUUACAUUGACAGUCUUCAGUUUCGAGCUUUCAACAACGUGACUGUAUCACAUAUGAGUAUGUUCAAUGUUAAUAUCACCACUAUCCAGCCCUAUGCCUUUCAUAAUAUGACUGUCGCAUACAUGAACAUAUACAAUGCGACCAUCACUACCAUCCAACCCUAUGCCUUCAACAACAUGACUGUCUCUCACAUGAAACUGUACAAUGCAAACAUCACCACCAUCCAGUCUCAAGCCUUCAGCAAUCUCACCAUCUCAUUCCUCAACAUCUUCAGUGUCAACAUUACCACCAUCCAGCCACACGGCUUUGGAGAGAACUUAACUGCCUCCUUCUUCAACUUCUACAACAGCACCAUCACCACUCUCCACGACUACGCCUUUAACAACAAAAGCAGCGCCGUUGUUCGCGCAUUCGUGUACAACAUGGUCGUCACUGAAGGCGGGUGUCAAGCUCUAAACGGGGUAGGGAGGAUCAGGAACGUUACCUUUCUUAGAAAAUGUGGUGGUAUUGAUGAAACAAAUGAUGGUAGCAGACAGUGCCCAGACAGAUGCACGUGCAGUGCUUCGACUGUCACAUGUUCGGGUCUCACACUCUUCCCAGACAUCCGCUCCGAUUCUGCUGUUAGUGUGACAAUCACCAACUCUACCCUUCCACUACCAACCACCGCCUUCAGAACACUGCCAAAACUGACCCAGAUUAGUUUGGGUAAUGUGAACAUCACAAGAAUAGAAAGACGUGCCUUCAAGGAUAUAUCGGGAGGUGCUGUGCUGCUGAAUACUGUCUCCAUCUUGGCAAUUGAAGAGGAAGCAUUCUACAACUUGAAUAGAACAAGGGUGGUUAUUUCUAACUUUGAGGUGGACGUGCUGCCCUCCAGAACAUUUCACAAUGUGUCCUCAUCCUCCUUUUCUCUAUCACAUGGACGAGUCACAACAGUCCAGUCACAAGCCUUCAGCCGUAUGGAUGUUUCAUUCCUGAAGAUACACAAUGUCAACAUCACGACCCUUCAGCCUCACGCCUUUCAGAAUGUCACAGCAUCCUACUUUUACAUUUAUAAUUCAAACAUCGCGACGAUCGGUUCAAACUCUUUCGGUAACCUUACAGCAUCCUUCCUGAAUAUAUACAACGUAAGCAUCAUCUCUAUCCAACCUUAUGCCUUCAACAACAUGACAGUCUCUCACAUGAAACUGUACAAUGCUAACAUCACCUCUAUCCAGCAAUAUGCCUUCAACAACAUGUCUGCAUCCCACAUGACAAUCAACAAUGCUUACAUUGACAGUCUUCAGUUUCGAGCAUUCAACAACGUGACUGUAGCACAUAUGAGUAUGUUCAAUGUUAAUAUCACCACUAUCCAGCCCUAUGCCUUUCAUAAUAUGACUGUCGCACACAUGAACAUAUACAAUGCGACCAUCACUACCAUCCAACCGUAUGCCUUCAACAACAUGACUGUCUCUCACAUGAAACUGUACAAUGCUAACAUCACCACCAUCCAGUCUCAAGCCUUCAGCAAUCUCACCAUCUCAUUCCUCAACAUCUUCAGUGUCAACAUUACCACCAUCCAGCCACACGGCUUUGGAGAGAACUUAACUGCCUCCUUCUUCAACUUCUACAACAGCACCAUCACCACUCUCCACGACUACGCCUUUAACAACAAAAGCAGCGCCGUUGUUCGCGCAUUCGUGUACAACAUGGUCGUCACUGAAGGCGGGUGUCAAGCUCUAAACGGGGUAGGGAGGACCAGGAACGUUACCUUUCUUAGAAAAUGUAACAGCAGUUUAGAAGUGGAAGUCAUACCUCAAAAUGGUGGCAUUGCGCAAGUCACGUAUUUCUAUGACCUUGGAUUUUUCUUUACAUUAGUAACUGGUCUAUUGAUGUUGCAGUAGCUUCAAUACGUCAAGGUCAAGUCAAACACCCUCGUCUGUUGGUAGCUGAGCAGAUGAUGGACCCAAUGACCAGUGAAAUCAACCUCCUGUAGGUAUAUCAAACAAUGACUAAUUGCUGUCAAACAGUGUGUAAGAGUGGUCAUAUCUCAUUAGUUAUACAGUUCAUUAAGGCCUGCUUCUUCCACCACUGUCAAACCCUGUGGAGAAAAACUCUAAACCUUGGACACAAGCGUCUGAACAAGAAAGACCCACAAGUGAGUCUACCCGUGAAGAAUAGGUCGAAUAGGUCUCCAGCAACCCAUGCUUGCUGUAACAGGUGACUAUACUUGUCGUAAGAAGCGACUAACGGGAUCGGGUGGUCAGGCUCGCUGAGUUGGUUGAUGCAUGUCAUCGAAUCCCAUUUGAGUACAUCGAUACUCAUGAUGUCAAUCACUUGAUUUUCUGGUCUGGACUCGAUUAUUUACAGACCGCCGUCAUAUAGCUGGAAUAUUGCUGAGUUAAGCAAUAAACAAACAAACGAGUGAGGCAGUGGGUUAGAAGAGCUUAUGUUCUGGCACUGCGUCCCCAGCAUCUUGUCUAAAACACCAGAUGUUGACUACGUCGUGGACUUCAGAGAUUACAUCGUGAACCCAUGGGUUGAUUACGAAGCGAGAUUUCCCUUGCCGAAACCAAACUUUAGAGCUGCACCACCGAACCACAAAAUAAUCUACUUAGAAAUUAAAAACAGCCUUGCUCGACUAAAAGACCCUCUCCAACAAGGCACAUAAGACUCAACUCGAGUACCUGGAUGCUGUUGGCCACCUACCUCGCCUUUGGUCGACUGAGAAUGAACAACAUGAACAAACCAAGUUUACAAAGUGAACAACAUUAAUGCUUCAUGUACAGUAUAUUUAGGUAUGUUUUCUUGCAAAUGUACACUAUGCAACAUAAUAAAAUGAUAAUAGUCCUCCGUAGGAACGGUCAUUUGUACAACAUGAAAACGAAUAAGUUUAAUCUUCAAAUUGGACUUUUUUCAUUGACUGGAUUAUCCCAAUAGGAUUCUGAGGUAACAAUCAGUUUAUUGCUGUGCACUCAACUAUAAAUUGUGUUGUUUUAAUCUGUCUAACUAAUGGGUGUCUAACAAACGGGUGUCCAACUAAAGGGUGUCUAACUAAUGGGUGUAUAACUAAUGGGUGUCUAACUAAUGGGUGUAAAACUAAUGGAUGUCUAUAACUGAUGGGUGUCUAUAACUACUUGAUGUCUUACAAAUGGGUGUCCAACUAAAGUGUGUCCAACUAAUGGGUGUCUAAAUCAUGGGUGUCUAACUAAUGGGUGUAUAACUAAUGGAUGUCUAUAACUGAUGGGUGUCUUUAACUAAUUGGUGUCUAACAAAUGGGUGUCCAACCUAAGGGUGUCUAACUAAUGGGUGUCUAAAACAUGGGUGUCUUACUAAUGGGUGCAUAACUAAUGGAAAUCUAUAACUAAUUGGUGUCUAACUAAUGGGUGUCGAACUUAAGGGUGUCUAACUAAUGGGUGUCUAAAUCAUGGGUGUCCAACUAAUGGGUGCAUAACUAAUGGAAAUCUAUAACUUAUGGGUGUCCAACUAAUGGAUGUCUAUAUGUAAUGGGUAUCAAACUUAUGAGUGUCUAACUUAUGGGUGUCCAUGUAAUGAGAGUCUAACUAAUGGGUAUCACACUAAAGGGUGUCUAACUUGUGGAUGUCCAUGUAAUGAGAGUCUAACUAACGGGUAUCAAACUAUUGGGUGUCUAACUUAUGGGUAUCACACUUAAGGGUGUCUAACUUAUGGGUGUCCAUGGAAUGAGAGUCUAACUUAUGGGUGUCCAACUUAUGGGUGUCCAUGUAAUGAGAGUCUAACUAAUGGGUGUCUAACUUAUGAGUGUCUAACUUAUGGGUGUCUAACUAAUUGAUGGAGGCCACCGUCAGAGUUUGUAGUAUCUCCAAUUGUUUCUGAGCCUCAUAAUGACACAUUGCAGGCUUCCGGUUCCUAUAUAUAAUCACAGCAGCCCAUGUAAACAGAGCCAUGUAAACAGAGCUCGAUAUGAAAUAAUAUAUUUCGCAUAACAUAUAUUAACAGGGCUAGUUUUAUUCACGAAGUAUAUUCUUUUCGCAAAACCCUUUAUACGGCGGUGGUAAAGGGGCGACAGGGAGAACUUAGUAAUUUAUCAGACACUGUUUUCGAAAAAAAUAUAUAAAUUGCAAGUAAUAAAAAUAAAACAUGUAUAUAAUAAAUAGAAAAUUAAAUGUGUUUUCUCAAAUACCACUUUUAUCUCAUCUCGUGAAGUGGGGAGAGUCUAAUAUUUUCACGAGUGACUGCGUCACUCGUGAAAAUAUGAGACUCUCCCCACUUCACUUGAUGAGAUAAAAGUGGUAUUUGAGAAAACACAUUAAAUAUCAUCAAUCUAUAGUAUAAUGGACGUACACAUGCUCAUUGGCACUUCACAAUGGUUCUGCAAAUUCAUAAAGUGAAGUACGACCAAGCCUCGCAAGAUCUUGUAUGGGCUGAUAAACAUCUUCACUGGCGCUUUCACCCUGUGGGCACUUUCAGGAUCGUUUCAUAUCGUUAAAUCAUGACAUUAACGUUUUGCAUUGUUUACAUAACUAGACAUAUUUACAACUGUAUUAAAUACUAUUAAUUGUUGGUUAUGUUCACGUUUGUUUCUGUUGUCAAAAUGUAUAUAUGAUGUUAUGAUAUGUAACCAGGUGAGCUUUCUUGAUGUGUCACGCCUUUCGCAGUUCGAGCAUUUUUGUCUUCAAGUUAGUUUUCGAGUAGUUUUUAUUACCCAGCAUUGAAUUUCUUUGUGGUAAUAAUAAAUAAACAUAACAACAAAAAAACAAUCAGCAUCUGUGGCUGACACAUUCAUUCACCCUUAUGUAGUCUCGUUUGUAUGCUAUCAUUACAAUAAAACAAUUAUUAAACGUU
rnacentral:misc_RNA from 1 species